CAGCAUGUCUCAUCAAGGGCUGUGGCUUGAAGUAGCCGCAGGGUCUCCAACUACAUGCGAGAACAUGUUGGAAAGACUUUGACAGCCCAGGUCACUUGGUAUCUGUAGCUGCCACUCAACUUUCCUAUAUUU
ensembl:snoRNA